GUUUCUGUAGUGUAGUGGUCAUCACGUUCGCCUAACACGCGAAAGGUCCCCAGUUCGAAACUGGGCGGGAACA